GCCCCCUCUGAUCUCAGCAGCCAAUCAUAACCCUGAAACAUGAAGCACCAAACUGAAAUCUCCUCCUCAUCAGGAAGGAAUAAAUCUAUCCUCCGGAUGACCACAACUUUGUCCUGAGUCCCUGUCCAGAAGGUCAUUAACAGGAUAUACUGCUAUAACACUUCUCCGUUCUGGUCUCACUCCAUGAGAGAAAGGAUAACAGAUCAUCAGACGUUCUUAGCAUCCAUCCGAGAGACAAAAGAAGAUUAACCAAGUACCAAGUCUCACUACAAGAGACUAUUGCAACAGCAAGUUCGGAAUCCCUAUACCAGGGAGAUACCUACAGCGACAAGGUUUAGCUCUUGCAAGCAAACCUUCUCUUCAAGUUUCGUGCAUCUGCGUGUUCCAGAUGAUGAAUCUUGCACCGACAUAAGGGUCAUGUGUUCCAGAUUGCAAGAAGCCUCUUGGUGCUUCCAGGAGAUCAGCAUUCCUCAACUACUUCAUGUCCAAGGCUGUUGAAAUGGAAUCCAGCUCCUUCCCCACUGUAAUGUGGCCCUGAGUCCCAGUGGAUGAUGUCGCCGUCACCGAACUCAUCGAUCGAUCAAGAAGAACACUCCACUCUCCUAUUCUUCUUUAUCAAAUUGUUCCAGACACUCAUUGUGAGCUGUUGGUGGUGCAGACAUCUGAUUGUGUACCAUUCUCUUCAGUGGAAGAACGAUGCAGCUUCCAACCUGGAAUAAGAAGUGUGGGCUUCAGGCAAUUAAGUGUCAACACGGCGGCUUCCCGAAGAAUAAGAAGUGAUGCAAAGCUCACGUUCCCACCCC